rnacentral:sRNA from 1 species
UACUGAACAGCGGCGCAGUAUCCUAGUCAGAUCUGCCGUCUCCUAAGAAGGGCCUAAAAAUCCUUUAAAGGGCACAACUGUGAAACCUCUGGUGCUUGCUUCUUACGCCCAGUUUGGGGUGGGUGCUGGAGGGAGGCGUGCGAAAUGCCCGCCUGCGGAUGUAGGGCGCCCCUCAAUGGCAUGAGGGACCCGACCCUGCUUCCGUGGAGACCUGCUGUUGUGCACAGGCGUACUCCCCCUGUGGUAAGCGACCUGUGUACGAGGCAGUUGACGUCAUCGACCCCGAUGGCAAGAAACCUGCAUCGCGGUGCUACCCGGCCUUUGUGCCGUGAACGCUGUGUGCAGAGUAGCCUGCCUUGCGUGGGCACGGUGAAUAGGGGAGCUGAAGCACCAAAGACCCCGGCCAGGGUCCGCGUGCGAUUCCCUUGAAACCCUGCCUGCAAAAGAGGAUAAGAGGCGGCGUGACUGCAGUGGAAAUCACCUAGGCUGUCCAUUUCUGUGGGGCCUUGGGAGGAUUGCAGUGCGGACUAAGUGGCAGUCGGGUAUCACGACGCGGCAACGCCGUGAUACAGCACCUAAGGGGAAACCACCUGAUCGGCGACGAGAGGCGUGCUGUGGGGAAAUCCAACCCGUACCUAAGCCGCAAGAUUUACUCCCAAUGCUGCCCUGU